UACAGCUGUUUACAAUUUAAAAAACAAAGCAGACGAAAAGUAAACAAACAAUUUAGAAACAACACGUGAAAUAUUUGCGAAUUAUUAUUGAAGUAAAUAAAUGAAUAUAAGUUUAAAAUAAGAAAAAUAAUAAAUAUGACGGAGUGUAUAGUGUGUCAACAAACAACCAAUAAAUACAAAUGUCCCAAAUGUUUUGAGCCCUACUGUUCCCUAGAUUGCUAUAAACAACACAAAGAGUCACCACAAUGUGUGGAUAAACUUAAUGGAAAAACAAAGGUGGCAGAAGUUAAAGAAUGUUCCAAUGAUAUUAAUGAACCUACUGUCUAUGAGCCAUUUAAAACGGAGGACACUGUGCCACAGGAAAAACUGAAGGAAUUGGGCACAAGUGACGAGCUAAAGAAUCUUCUAUAUAAUCCUCACUUAAGAAAUUUAUUAAAGGAAAUCGAUACAGCACCAAAUGCUUGGAAAGCCAUUCGAGCAGCUAUGCAUGAACCACUAUUUUUAGAAUUUGCCGAUGAAUGUUUGAAAAUAAUAGAACCAGCCACAGCGGAAGAUGAGGUGUAAUCUAUAAUAAAUAAUUAAAGACUGAUCAGUUGUUUCAAAUAGUGUGCCACAAAAUAUAAGAAUAAUAGUAACAAUAUUUUGUAUGUGCUUCAAUGCUGCGAAUAAGAAAUAUUUUUAUUUGUGCUUGAUAACAUUAUUAUUAAUACUUAAAUACUAAAAGCACCGGGACUAAUGUUACAACAUUAUAA